CGGCGGACGGGUGAGUAAUGCCUAGGAAAUUGCCCUGAUGUGGGGGAUAACCAUUGGAAACGAUGGCUAAUACCGCAUGAUGCCUACGGGCCAAAGAGGGGGACCUUCGGGCCUCUCGCGUCAGGAUAUGCCUAGGUGGGAUUAGCUAGUUGGUGAGGUAAGGGCUCACCAAGGCGACGAUCCCUAGCUGGUCUGAGAGGAUGAUCAGCCACACUGGAACUGAGACACGGUCCAGACUCCUACGGGAGGCAGCAGUGGGGAAUAUUGCACAAUGGGCGCAAGCCUGAUGCAGCCAUGCCGCGUGUGUGAAGAAGGCCUUCGGGUUGUAAAGCACUUUCAGUCGUGAGGAAGGUAGUGUAGUUAAUAGCUGCAUUAUUUGACGUUAGCGACAGAAGAAGCACCGGCUAACUCCGUGCCAGCAGCCGCGGUAAUACGGAGGGUGCGAGCGUUAAUCGGAAUUACUGGGCGUAAAGCGCAUGCAGGUGGUUUGUUAAGUCAGAUGUGAAAGCCCGGGGCUCAACCUCGGAAUUGCAUUUGAAACUGGCAGACUAGAGUACUGUAGAGGGGGGUAGAAUUUCAGGUGUAGCGGUGAAAUGCGUAGAGAUCUGAAGGAAUACCGGUGGCGAAGGCGGCCCCCUGGACAGAUACUGACACUCAGAUGCGAAAGCGUGGGGAGCAAACAGGAUUAGAUACCCUGGUAGUCCACGCCGUAAACGAUGUCUACUUGGAGGUUGUGGCCUUGAGCCGUGGCUUUCGGAGCUAACGCGUUAAGUAGACCGCCUGGGGAGUACGGUCGCAAGAUUAAAACUCAAAUGAAUUGACGGGGGCCCGCACAAGCGGUGGAGCAUGUGGUUUAAUUCGAUGCAACGCGAAGAACCUUACCUACUCUUGACAUCCAGAGAACUUU
rnacentral:rRNA from 1 species